rnacentral:lncRNA from 1 species
AUGUUAGGGAAGAUACCAUCCUGAGGACCUCCUGAUCCCUGGGAUCAGGUGAUGGGCUGAGCCUCUCUUCCCCCCGUAUUGGGAUGCCUUUGGGUGAGAUUUGAACACUUGGUUAUAUUGUAUGUCUCUGCAGAAACUUAGAAAUCUCUAUAGAGUCUUUGUGCCUUUUUAACAUGUUAAUUUUGAGGCUGCACAACUGUGUAUUUCAUGCACACCAGCUUGCUUUUGCAGACAGUAAAUUAUUGCCAGCAAUCCAAAGAAUCUGUGUCUGAAAUAAAUUGCAUUUAACUGCAUUGUUCCUAGCUGUAAUAGUUCUCAAAGAACUUGACUAGAGUAAGGGCGGUUAUAUGUUAUUGGUGAAUCUGUGACUGUGGUAGUUCACUGCUCUGAAUCCAACCAGACCCAUAUUGGUUAAUGCAUUAUUGGUGAAUCUGUGAUUGUGAUAAUUCAGUACCCUGAAUCAGACCAGACCCAUAAUGGUUAAUUGGCUACACCCUUAACAUAAUGUGCAUACACUCCAACCCACCUAAAGAACCCUGUAAUUGGCUGAAGGAAAAACAAAGCACUUACACCAAGGAGCAGCUCAGGCAGAAAGAGCUUUAAGGGGACACCUGUGGCUUAUAUACCAUUAGGCCCACCUGGCACCCAACCAAUCACCUGGGAAAGGGGUGGGGCAAAGCAAAAAAGUAGAAAUCAAGCAGGAUGAGCAGCAGCUGUGUUGUUUUUGUUUAUCUGGCUUAGCUCAACAGUGUGCAAAGCACAGCACAAAGAAGUGGGCUGUUUCUAGAAACAACAAUUUCUGUGCUUUUUGCUUCAACUAUGAAUGUUGAAAGGACAAUAUGACCAAAAAUUAAACACGUGUAUUUUGAAAGCAAAGAGAAAACUUGAUGAGAAGAGAUCUUAUGAUUAAGCCAUCUGGCAACACUACAAGAAAAGAAAAUUUGACUCCCCCUUACAAGUGUGCAUUCCAUCUGCAAUUAUGCUGCAGCCCACUCUGCCACUCAGCUCUGUCCUUGCUAUAGA